UACAGAGGGUGCAAGCGUUAAUCGGAAUUACUGGGCGUAAAGGGUGCGUAGGUGGCUAAGUAAGUUGGAUGUGAAAUCCCUGGGCUUAACCUAGGAACUGCAUUCAAAACUGCUUAGCUAGAGUAGGGUAGAGGGAAGCGGAAUUUCCGGUGUAGCGGUGAAAUGCGUAGAUAUCGGAAGGAACACCAGUGGCGAAGGCGGCUUCCUGGACUCAUACUGACACUGAAGCACGAAAGCGUGGGGAGCAAAC
rnacentral:rRNA from 1 species